rnacentral:rRNA from 1 species
UUGACGGGGGCCCGCACAAGCGGUGGAGCAUGUGGUUUAAUUCGAUGCAACGCGAAGAACCUUACCUGGUCUUGACAUCCACAGAACUUUCCAGAGAUGGAUUGGUGCCUUCGGGAACUGUGAGACAGGUGCUGCAUGGCUGUCGUCAGCUCGUGUUGUGAAAUGUUGGGUUAAGUCCCGCAACGAGCGCAACCCUUAUCCUUUGUUGCCAGCGGUCCGGCCGGGAACUCAAAGGAGACUGCCAGUGAUAAACUGGAGGAAGGUGGGGAUGACGUCAAGUCAUCAUGGCCCUUACGACCAGGGCUACACACGUGCUACAAUGGCGCAUACAAAGAGAAGCGACCUCGCGAGAGCAAGCGGACCUCAUAAAGUGCGUCGUAGUCCGGAUUGGAGUCUGCAACUCGACUCCAUGAAGUCGGAAUCGCUAGUAAUCGUGGAUCAGAAUGCCACGGUGAAUACGUUCCCGGGCCUUGUACACACCGCCCGUCACACCAUGGGAGUGGGUUGCAAAAGAAGUAGGUAGCUUAACCUUCGGGAGGGCGCUUACCACUUUGUGAUUC